ACUUCUUUGGAGCCUUCGCGGUGACGAGCAGCCGGGCGAAGCGGCCCUCCUCCUCACGACAGCCCGAGGAGGGGGUCAGGGUCAUUUUCAGACAGCCCCCUCUGGCUUCCUCUUCACACCCUGCUCUAGAUGGAGGAGAGAGGUACGCCCAGCCCGGCUCAGCUAAAAGCAGGGAGAAGAGCCCGGCCGAGACCUGGAAGCCUCGGCUUGGGAGGAGCUGGUCCGACGGACCCUUCCUGCCCCGGUUUGUCCGGACUCCGGAUCUCCGGGCCUGGCAACUCUGGGUCGGCGCUCCUGGAACCUCACAUCUCGGGUGUGAGCAACCUAGGACACAAAACGCGGGGAUGGCUUGGAAGCCCGUGGGCAGGCGAAACCGGGAGUUCUGGCAGCGGCUCAGCCUCCCCCUCCUCCUCCCUCCCCCUCCCUCCCCCUCCCCUGCCUUCCCCCGGGAGCAGCGGGAAAUUAUUUAUUAAAACGCCGCCCGCGCUCUCAUUUAUUUGCGGUGAAUAAUCCUCGGCAUCUCAGCACGUUUAUUAAACCUUUCCCGUCCCUGCGCCCGCAUUACUUUAAUAAUAAAUCGCGUGUCACUUUCCAGCGACAUUAUUAAAGCGGGUCCGCUGCAGCAGAGGCGGGGUGCGGGGAGGGAGGGGGCGGUGGACAACAGUUCUCCCAUUCCAGGCUGUGGUGCUUGAACCAGCAGGGCGGGGAGGGGAAAACUGAGGCUGCUAGGAGGCUGCUCCUGAACACCUACAAAGUCGGCUAACGCGAUUAAGGAGUGCGGAUUCCCCGGGACCUGCGUGACCCUCUCCGGUGGGGUGGGGCUUUUGGUGAGGAGCCUCUGCUCUGCAGGUGGACGCGGUAGGAGCUAUGGGCCCGCAGAGGGCGUCUUGGAGCCCAGCUGGGCGAAGAACAAGCUAGGGGCGGAUUCCCUGGCUGAUGCUGGGACUCACACCCACGUCCCCUCUUUCAGCGCCGGGCGGAUUUUGGCCACAGCGCCGAACAGCACGCCCCACCCCCGCCUACCCCUCUGAUUCUGCUUCUGUGGGCGCCCUGGAAUCGGCUCCC
rnacentral:lncRNA from 1 species